UGGGGAAUAUUGGACAAUGGGCGAAAGCCUGAUCCAGCCAUGCCGCGUGUGUGAAGAAGGUCUUCGGAUUGUAAAGCACUUUAAGUUGGGAGGAAGGGCAGUAAGCGAAUACCUUGCUGUUUUGACGUUACCGACAGAAUAAGCACCGGCUAACUCUGUGCCAGCAGCCGCGGUAAUAAAGAGGGUGCAAGCGUUAAUCGGAAUUACUGGGCGUAAAGCGCGCGUAGGUGGUUCGUUAAGUUGAAUGUGAAAGCCCCGGGCUCAACCUGGGAACUGCAUCCAAAACUGGCGAGCUAGAGUAGGGCAGAGGGUGGUGGAAUUUCCUGUGUAGCGGUGAAAUGCGUAGAUAUAGGAAGGAACACCAGUGGCGAAGGCGACCACCUGGGCUCAUACUGACACUGAGGUGCGAAAGCGUGGGGAGCAAACCGG
rnacentral:rRNA from 1 species